rnacentral:rRNA from 1 species
AUGGCGGCGAAGAAGCCGAGUAGUGCUAUCGACAUGGCGGAGCUGGACCCGGUGCUGCACGGGGUGGGCUUCGAGAUGCAGGAGGUGUCGCCGUCGCUGCUCUCCGGCCGGCUCCCGGUCACGGAGCGCUGCUGCCAGCCGUUCAAGGUGCUGCACGGCGGCGUGUCGGCGCUGGUGUCGGAGGGCCUGGCCAGCAUGGGCGCGCACAUGGCGUCCGGCUACCGCCGCGUCGCCGGCGUGCACCUCGCCAUCAACCACUUCCGCAGCGCCGCCCUCGGCGACGUCGUCCUCGCGCGCGCCGUCCCCGUCCACCUUGGACGCUCCACCCAGGUGUGGGAGGUGAAGCUGUGGAAGAUGGACCCGUCGGAGGAGGGGAAGAAGGGCCCGCAGAUCUCCGAGUCCAGGGUCACGCUGCUCUGCAACCUGCCCGUGCCGGACAACCUGCACCACGCCGGCGACGCCCUCAAGAAGUACGCUGCCGCAGCAACGACGACAACCACCCCCACCAGCAAACUGUAA